rnacentral:ncRNA from 1 species
AGGAGCCGUAUGAGGUGAAAAUCUCACGUACGGUUUUGGAACGGAGAAUUCUUUGAAUCGAAUGACGAUCCGUAAC